rnacentral:rRNA from 1 species
CUACGGGGUGCAGCAGGCGCGAAAACUUUACAAUGCUGGCAACAGCGAUAAGGGAACCUCGAGUGCCAGGUUACAAAUCUGGCUGUCGAGAUGCCUAAAAAGCAUUUCAUAGCAAGGGCCGGGCAAGACCGGUGCCAGCCGCCGCGGUAACACCGGCGGCUCGAGUGGUAACCGUUAUUAUUGGGUCUAAAGGGUCUGUAGCCGGCCGGAUAAGUCUCUUGAGAAAUCUGGCAGCUUAACUGUCAGGCUUUCAGGAGAUACUGUCUGGCUCGAGGCCGGGAGAGGUGAGAGGUACUUCAGGGGUAGGGGUGAAAUCUUGUAAUCCUUGAAGGACCACCAGUGGCGAAGGCGUCUCACCAGAACGGACCUGACGGCAAGGGACGAAAGCUAGGGGCACGAACCGGAUUAGAUACCCGGGUAGUCCUAGCCGUAAACGAUACUCGCUAGGUGUCGGCCACGGUGCGACCGUUGUCGGUGCCGUAGGGAAGCCG